GAUGAAGAACGUAGCGAAAUGCGAUACUUGGUGUGAAUUGCAGAAUCCCGUGAACCAUCGAGUCUUUGAACGCAAGUUGCGCCUCAAGCCAUUAGGUUGAGGGCACGUCUGCCUGGGCGUCACAUAUCGUUGCCUGAUGCCAGUUUCCUCGUGAUGGGUGACUGUGCAGGGCGAAUGAUGGCUUCCCGUGAGCAUUGUUGCCUCAUGGUUGGUUGAAAAUUGAGUCCUUGGUAGGGAGCGCCGUGAUAAAUGGUGGUUGAGUGACGAACGAGACCCAAUCAUGUGAGACCCCUACCGAAUUUGGCCUUCAUGACCCACAUGCGUCUUUGGAACGCUCAUGACGAGACCUCAGGUCAGGCGGGGCUACCCGCUGAGUUUAAGCAUAUCAAUAAGCGGAGGA
rnacentral:misc_RNA from 1 species